rnacentral:rRNA from 1 species
CUUUCAUGAGAGUGGCGAACGGGUGCGUAACGCGUAUGCAACCUACCUUCAUCAGGGGGAUAGCCCGGAGAAAUUCGGAUUAACACCGCAUAAAAACAUAGUACGGCAUCGUACAAUGUUCAAAUAUUCAUAGGAUGAGGAUGGGCAUGCGUGUCAUUAGCUAGUUGGUAAGGUAACGGCUUACCAAGGCGACGAUGACUAGGGGAUCUGAGAGGAUGACCCCCCACACUGGUACUGAGACACGGACCAGACUCCUACGGGAGGCAGCAGUAAGGAAUAUUGGUCAAUGGAGGCAACUCUGAACCAGCCAUGCCGCGUGCAGGAAGACGGCCCUAUGGGUUGUAAACUGCUUUUAUACGGGAAUAAACCUUGAUUCGUGAAUCGAGCUGAAUGU